GGUGCGACGUUUGCAUGCUUCUCCCUUUAGAGCCGGAUGCGACGUGAGCGCGUUUUAGAUGCUGUCAUUGCUUUUAAGAUACGUGACCGAUGAAAUGCGUCGUGAUUCGCUGAAAUACACGUUGGGAAGUUAUUGCACUACCACUGCCAGUUUGUUUGUUUUAUUGAAAAUAUGGCUGGAAACAACAAGCACAUUUGUCAACAUUUUCAGUUUUAUUGAUUU